rnacentral:piRNA from 1 species
UUGCACCAAAACCUGCUAGAGGAUGC